rnacentral:rRNA from 1 species
UUGAAGAGUUUGAUCAUGGCUCAGAUUGAACGCUGGCGGCAGGCCUAACACAUGCAAGUCGAGCGGUAGCACAGAGAGCUUGCUCUCGGGUGACGAGCGGCGGACGGGUGAGUAAUGUCUGGGAAACUGCCUGAUGGAGGGGGAUAACUACUGGAAACGGUAGCUAAUACCGCAUAACGUCGCAAGACCAAAGUGGGGGACCUUCGGGCCUCAUGCCAUCAGAUGUGCCCAGAUGGGAUUAGCUAGUAGGUGGGGUAACGGCUCACCUAGGCGACGAUCCCUAGCUGGUCUGAGAGGAUGACCAGCCACACUGGAACUGAGACACGGUCCAGACUCCUACGGGAGGCAGCAGUGGGGAAUAUUGCACAAUGGGCGCAAGCCUGAUGCAGCCAUGCCGCGUGUGUGAAGAAGGCCUUCGGGUUGUAAAGCACUUUCAGCGGGGAGGAAGGCGGUGAGGUUAAUAACCUCACCGAUUGACGUUACCCGCAGAAGAAGCACCGGCUAACUCCGUGCCAGCAGCCGCGGUAAUACGGAGGGUGCAAGCGUUAAUCGGAAUUACUGGGCGUAAAGCGCACGCAGGCGGUCUGUCAAGUCGGAUGUGAAAUCCCCGGGCUCAACCUGGGAACUGCAUUCGAAACUGGCAGGCUAGAGUCUUGUAGAGGGGGGUAGAAUUCCAGGUGUAGCGGUGAAAUGCGUAGAGAUCUGGAGGAAUACCGGUGGCGAAGGCGGCCCCCUGGACAAAGACUGACGCUCAGGUGCGAAAGCGUGGGGAGCAAACAGGAUUAGAUACCCUGGUAGUCCACGCUGUAAACGAUGUCGAUUUGGAGGUUGUGCCCUUGAGGCGUGGCUUCCGGAGCUAACGCGUUAAAUCGACCGCCUGGGGAGUACGGCCGCAAGGUUAAAACUCAAAUGAAUUGACGGGGGCCCGCACAAGCGGUGGAGCAUGUGGUUUAAUUCGAUGCAACGCGAAGAACCUUACCUGGUCUUGACAUCCACAGAACUUUCCAGAGAUGGAUUGGUGCCUUCGGGAACUGUGAGACAGGUGCUGCAUGGCUGUCGUCAGCUCGUGUUGUGAAAUGUUGGGUUAAGUCCCGCAACGAGCGCAACCCUUAUCCUUUGUUGCCAGCGGUUAGGCCGGGAACUCAAAGGAGACUGCCAGUGAUAAACUGGAGGAAGGUGGGGAUGACGUCAAGUCAUCAUGGCCCUUACGACCAGGGCUACACACGUGCUACAAUGGCAUAUACAAAGAGAAGCGACCUCGCGAGAGCAAGCGGACCUCAUAAAGUAUGUCGUAGUCCGGAUUGGAGUCUGCAACUCGACUCCAUGAAGUCGGAAUCGCUAGUAAUCGUAGAUCAGAAUGCUACGGUGAAUACGUUCCCGGGCCUUGUACACACCGCCCGUCACACCAUGGGAGUGGGUUGCAAAAGAAGUAGGUAGCUUAACCUUCGGGAGGGCGCUUACCACUUUGUGAUUCAUGACUGGGGUGAAGUCGUAACAAGGUAACCGUAGGGGAACCUGCGGUUGGAUCACCUCCUU